CCAAUUAGGAGUCAUCUUAAUUUAUUAGAUCAAAAUUAAUUAGGACUUUAGGAAUCCCAAUCUAAUUAGGACUCAUAUAAUUUUAGUCCUAAUCCAAUUAGGACUUUAGAAAUCCUACUCCAAGUAGAACUCUAAUUUAAUUUGAAGUCCUAAUCUAAUUAGGACUCUAGGAGUCCUACUGCAAGUAGGACUCUUAUUAAAUAAGAUCAAGCCUAUUUAAUUAAGUCCAAUUGAUUUAAUUAA
rnacentral:lncRNA from 1 species